UUGGGCGAGCUAAUCGAAGGUUAAACGCAAACAAGGCGGUCACAGAUGUUAGCAGCGUUUCACCACGUUUAUUUCCGAAUGUUGAGUGGGAAUGUUGCUUGAUUUGUAGGCUAUUCGUGCAAAGACUCAUUUGACGACUUUUUCGUGACUUUGGAAACGUGACGUGAGCGCAGGUUUCUAAGGAGAACUUCAGCUACUGACCAACUGGCACCUGCUUACCUGAAGGGAUCAAAACCACUGCCCACAACACACUGCCCACACACUGCCAACUACACCAUAGGAUAAGCAAGGUGGAGAGAGCAAACGUGUGUGUGUGUGUGUGUGUGUGUGUGUGUGUGUGUGUGUGUGCCCGACACAAUAGGAUAAGCAAGGUGGAGAGAGCGAACGUGUGUGUGUGUGUGUGUGUGUGUGUGUGUGUGUGUGUGUGUGUGUGUGUGUGUGUGUGCCCCAUAGGUGUACACCAUAGGAUAAGCAAGGUGUCCGCUGUUGUCAGUUGACCAGAAUGGCAAACAAAAAUGUUUGGGAACCAGGAGACACACACACACACACACACACACACACACACAUUCGCUCUCUCUAUUUUUGUCCCUGUCUGAAAUGUUCAAAUUAUAAAUAACUGAAUAGAAAAUAGAAUGUGUCCUUGGUGUCCCCCUCCAAACUGACAUCUUUCCCACACCCUAGUCAUGAUUUCCUAAAUGGUACGUGCUGAGGCAGAGUCCGAGGAUCAUAAAACGUGGAAAAAUAUCCAUGUUAUUUCAUAAUGGUUGUGGUGUCUUUUUUUAUGCGAUGUUCAUUUUCCCAGGGUGACCCAUAACUAACAAUACAGUGCGGUGUGAUCUACAGUUUUAUAUCAAAUUCCUUAUCUUUAAAAACAAAACAAAAAAAAGAAAUAAAACAACUUCCCUGUGCAGUGCAGAGUAUCCGUAACCGAGAUACAGCACAGGGAAUCAGGCACAUGGCCAUGCUGCUUCAGAGCUUCAAAGAACACAGCAGUGGUGGCAGAAGAGCGAGCGAGCCAGCAGUCUUUGGGAUCUGGGCUUUUUAAAGACCUCAGAGGAGUUCUGCUGUACGGCGUGGCGGCUUCUGACGGGGCGCUGCAGGAGGAGACGCGGGGGAGACGCGCGGCACAGGAGCACAAUCGCCUCCUUGUCUCGCAUCUCUCCCCUUUGAAAAAUAAAUACAUAAAGCAGGGCUAUCCCCC